AGAGGCCCUUGGGGAGGAGUAA
rnacentral:miRNA from 1 species